CCAAUGAGUACUAGUGAAGAAGAUCAACAGCAUGCAGCUCCAUGAUCAAGAGUUGUUCUUCGGGGGUGAUAUUGCCUCGACGCACAUCGGGCCGGAGAUAGUUCAACCAUCGGAGUCGGCAACUUUUUCCGGUACGUUUCAACCCUAAUAAAACAAUUCAUUUAAUAUUGUUAGGGCUUCUAUGA